rnacentral:rRNA from 1 species
AUUGAACGCUGGCGGCAGGCCUAACACAUGCAAGUCGAACGAGUGGCGGACGGGUGAGUAAUGUAUGGGAAACUGCCUGAUGGAGGGGGAUAACUACUGGAAACGGUAGCUAAUACCGCAUAACAUCAGAUGUGCCCAGAUGGGAUUAGCUUGUUGGUGGGGUAACGGCUCACCAAGGAGACGAUCCCUAGCUGGUCGGAGAGGAUGACCAGACACACUGGAACUGAGCCACGGUCCAGACUCCUACGGGAGGCAGCAGUGGGGAAGAUUUCACAAUGGGCGAAAGCCUGGUGCAGCCAUGCCGCGUGUAUGAAGAAGGCCGUCGGGUUGUAAAGUACGUUCAGCGGGGAGGCGUUACCCGCAGAAGAAGCACCGGCUAACUCCGUGCCAGCAGCCGCGGUAAUAC